GGAUUGUGGCUCAGCGGUAGAGCGCUCGCCUAGCAUGCAUGAAGCCCUGGGUUCAAUCCUCAGCACCA
rnacentral:tRNA from 1 species